AAUUUGAGUUGGGUGGGCUCACUGUGUGAUGGAAACGACGUGUCGAACAACACCCAGCCAAAAUAGCGAUAUGGGUGUUGAAUUGAAUGCAUACGGUCUUUUGAUUUAUGGAAUUGUUUUUCGUGUUGGGUUAA
ensembl:ncRNA F45B8.15 ncRNA